CCUACGGGAGGCAGCAGUGGGGAAUAUUGCACAAUGGGGGAAACCCUGAUGCAGCAACGCCGCGUGGAGGAUGACACAUUUCGGUGCGUAAACUCCUUUUAUAUAGGAAGAUGAUGACGGUACUAUAUGAAUAAGCACCGGCUAACUCCGUGCCAGCAGCCGCGGUAAUACGGAGGGUGCAAGCGUUACUCGGAAUCACUGGGCGUAAAGAGCGUGUAGGCGGGUAUAUAAGUCAGAAGUGAAAUCCUAUAGCUUAACUAUAGAACUGCUUUUGAAACUGUAUACCUAGAAUGUGGGAGAGGUAGAUGGAAUUUCUGGUGUAGGGGUAAAAUCCGUAGAGAUCAGAAGGAAUACCGAUUGCGAAGGCGAUCUACUGGAACAUUAUUGACGCUGAGACGCGAAAGCGUGGGGAGCAAACAGGAUUAGAUACCCUUGUAGUC
rnacentral:rRNA from 1 species